UUGAACGCUGGCGGUAUGCUUAACACAUGCAAGUCGAACGGGGGUAGUAAUACCCUAGUGGCGGACGGGUGAGUAAUGCAUGGGAAUCUGCCUGAUAGUGGGGGACAACGCGGGGAAACUCGCGCUAAUACCGCAUACGCCCUACGGGGGAAAGAGGGGGAUCUUCGGACCUCUUGCUAUCAGAUGAGCCCAUGUCGGAUUAGCUAGUUGGUAGGGUAAAGGCCUACCAAGGCGACGAUCCGUAGCUGGUCUGAGAGGACGAUCAGCCACACUGGGACUGAGACACGGCCCAGACUCCUACGGGAGGCAGCAGUGGGGAAUAUUGGACAAUGGGGGCAACCCUGAUCCAGCAAUACCGCGUGUGUGAAGAAGGCCUGCGGGUUGUAAAGCACUUUCAGUUGGAAAGAAAAGCCUGAGGCUAAUAUCCUUGGGUCUUGACGUUACCAACAGAAGAAGCACCGGCUAACUCCGU
rnacentral:rRNA from 1 species